rnacentral:rRNA from 1 species
UACGAAGGGGGCGAGCGUUGUUCGGAUUUACUGGGCGUAAAGGGCGCGCAGGCGGCUCAUUUUGUCAGGCGUGAAAGCCCCGGGCUUAACCUGGGAGGUGCGUUUGAUACGGAUGGGCUAGAGUUCGGGAGAGGAGAGUGGAAUUCCCAGUGUAGAGGUGAAAUUCGUAGAUAUUGGGAAGAACACCGGUGGCGAAGGCAGCUCGCUGGGACGUGACUGACGCUGAGACGCGAAAGCGUGGGGAGCAAACAGG